CUGGCGGCGUGCCUAAUACAUGCAAGUCGAACGCAAUGCCUUCGGGUGUUGAGUGGCGAACGGGUGAGUAACACGUAGGUAACUUACCUCUAAGACGAGGAUAACGGCUGGAAACGGUCGCUAAAACUGGAUAGGACAAUUGGAGGCAUCUCUGAUUGUUUAAAGGGGCUUUCGGGCCACACUUAGAGAAAGACCUGCGGCGCAUUAGCUAGUUGGUGAGGUAGAGGCUCACCAAGGCGAUGAUGCGUAGCCGGACUGAGAGGUCGAACGGCCACAUUGGGACUGAGACACGGCCCAAACUCCUACGGGAGGCAGCAGUAGGGAAUUUUCGGCAAUGGGGGAAACCCUGACCGAGCAACGCCGCGUGAAUGAAGACGUAUUUCGGUAUGUAAAGUUCUUUUAUUAAGGAAGAAUGUCGUUGGUAGGAAAUGACUAACGAGUGACGGUACUUAAUGAAUAAGCCCCGGCUAACUAUGUGCCAGCAGCCGCGGUAAUACAUAGGGGGCAAGCGUUAUCCGGAAUUAUUGGGCGUAAAGGGUGCGUAGGCGGUCUAUUAAGUCUGAGGUGUAAGUGCAGGGCUCAACCCUGUGAUGCUUUAGAAACUGGUAGACUUGAGUGAGAUAGAGGCAAGUGGAAUUCCAUGUGUAGCGGUAAAAUGCGUAAAUAUAUGGAGGAACACCAGUGGCGAAGGCGGCUUGCUGGGUCUAUACUGACGCUGAGGCACGAAAGCGUGGGGAGCAAACAGGAUUAGAUACCCUGGUAGUCCACGCUGUAAACGAUGAGUACUAAGUGUUGCGAUAACGCAGUGCUGAAGUUAACAUAUUAGUACUCCGCCUGAGUAGUACGUACGCAAGUAUGAAACUCAAAGGAAUUGACGGGACCCCGCACAAGCGGUGGAUCAUGUUGUUUAAUUCGAAGAUACCCGAAAAACCUUACCAGGUCUUGACAUACUCUGCAAAGCUAUAGAGAUAUAGUGGAGGUUAACAGAGAUACAGGUGGUGCAUGGUUGUCGUCAGCUCGUGUCGUGAGAUGUUGGGUUAAGUCCCGCAACGAGCGCAACCCUUAUUGCUAGUUACCAUCAUUAAGUUGGGGACUCUAGCGAGACUGCCAGUGAUAAACUGGAGGAAGGUGGGGAUGACGUCAAAUCAUCAUGCCCCUUAUGACCUGGGCUACAAACGUGAUACAAUGGCUAAAACAAAGAGAAGCGAAGCAGUGAUGUGGAGCCAAACUCAGAAAAAUAGUCUCAGUUCGGAUUGGAGUCUGCAACUCGACUCCAUGAAGUCGGAAUCGCUAGUAAUCGCAAAUCAGCAUGUUGCGGUGAAUACGUUCUCGGGGUUUGUACACACCGCCCGUCAAACCACGAAAGUUGGUAAUGCCCAACGCCGGUGGCCUAACUCGCAAGAGAGGGAGCCGUCUAAGGCAGGAUCGAU
rnacentral:rRNA from 3 species